UGCGCAGUACAGACGACUGCAUGGAGCCC
rnacentral:piRNA from 1 species